rnacentral:rRNA from 1 species
AUUGAACGCUGGCGGCAGGCCUAACACAUGCAAGUCGAACGGUAACAGGAAGCAGCUUGCUGCUUCGCUGACGAGUGGCGGACGGGUGAGUAAUGUCUGGGAAACUGCCUGAUGGAGGGGGAUAACUACUGGAAACGGUAGCUAAUACCGCAUAACGUCGAAAGACCAAAGAGGGGGACCUUAGGGCCUCUUGCCAUCGGAUGUGCCCAGAUGGGAUUAGCUAGUAGGUGGGGUAACGGCUCACCUAGGCGACGAUCCCUAGCUGGUCUGAGAGGAUGACCAGCCACACUGGAACUGAGACACGGUCCAGACUCCUACGGGAGGCAGCAGUGGGGAAUAUUGCACAAUGGGCGCAAGCCUGAUGCAGCCAUGCCGCGUGUAUGAAGAAGGCCUUCGGGUUGUAAAGUACUUUCAGCGGGGAGGAAGGGAGUAAAGUUAAUACCUUUGCUCAUUGACGUUACCCGCAGAAGAAGCACCGGCUAACUCCGUG